CCCAACUGCGAACCCAAGCAGCUCCCCACCCAAGACCCCAGGAGGGAGGGGAGACAGGGCUAGAGGAAGACAGGAGCAACUCGCCCUGACAGGUGACGGGAGCUGUCAGUCACCCGCACAUCCUCAGCCGGGGCCAAUGGGCUGCCUUCUCCUCCCGCCCUCCGCGCGGAGCUGGCGGCCGCGGCCAGAGCAGCUCCUCCUCCCCCAUCCUCUUCACCGAGCCCGCCGGCCCAGCACUCACUGUUGAGGCCGGCUGUCGGGGCCAACGGCUGUUCACCCUCUUCGCAGUUGUUGUUGUUGUUGUGGGGGGGCGGCGGCUGUUCUACUAAAUGAGACGACAUUGUCGGGCGGCUGGAAGACCCGCGGCCGAAGCAGGACCGUCUCUGGUUCUCGGGCAGCAACACAACAAGCCGAGUCCCCCGCCCCCUUUUCUGCGCCUGCGCAGCCCCUCCCCCGCCCCUGACGUCAGGGUCCGCUCGGGCCACGUGAUGACAACACAACAAGCGAAGGGGCGGGGAGGGGGCGUUCCUAGGCGAGCUCCGGAUCUGGAGACGCGGGAGUCACGCUGACUCGCGCCCCUGGAAUGAAUUGUUGCGUGUCAUUUGUGUUGGCCUGAUGGAGUGACUGAUGCGGCUGGAACCGAGAUAGAGAUUACUCACAAAAGCUUAACGAGACAUUAGACAAGAUCAGCCAUCAUUUCCAGGGAAUUUUCCUGCUGACAAACUUUGCAAUUGAGUUUCUUCCAAAGAGGGAGACACAGAAUCCGGGGCAGGCUCCAUGCUCUGAGCUGUCAGCACAGAGCCCGACACGGGGCUCAAACUCACGAACUGUGAAAAUUGACCUGAGCUGAAGCCAGAUGCUUAACUGACUGAGCCACCCAGGAGCCCCAGUCAUAUUCUCUUCAUAUUUAUCUUUGUAGUUUUAGAUAUAGUUGAACAUCUAUCACUUGAUUUGUCAACUUAAUCUGAUAAAUUUUGAUGAGUAAAAAUAAGGUUGCAUACCUUCCCUAUCUUUUACUUUUCUCCCUUUUCUCUGCCACAACAAACAUAUGUUAAUUACUCAUUCAAUAUAGACUUAAUACAUCGUAGUAUAUAUUUGUAUGUAUCCAAUAGCUAUUACUGUAAUCAUAUUGCAUAAUGAACCACCCCAAACUCACUGGCUUACAGAAGAAACAUUUAUUCUCUGUCAUGUAUUUGAAGGAUAAUUAAUAUAGACUCAGUUUAGGUGGAUUUGGUUUCAAGGUGAAAGUUGGUCCUGCUCUGUAAUCUUCCUUGGACCAUGGGUUGGCCAGAUCAUAUUCCCCUCAUGAUGACGGAAGAAAUUCAAGAAUAAUGAGCAGAAGCAACUCCAAACUAUCAUUCCUUGCACAUUCCAUUGGCCAAAGCAAGUCAGAGAACCAGCUGCAAAGUCACACUGGGAAGGGAAUGGAUUCUAGGAGACUACAAAAAUAUGUUAGCAUAAUUCCCAUAUUUAUUUUAGUCUCAAUUCUAUAGUUACAGUUUCAUUGCUCAUUGUAGAUCCUAUUGCCACAAUUUAUGCAGUUAUCUCUGGCUUGCUGAAGUUUUCUCCCUGAGAAUAGUGUCCCCUAAGAAUGCAUAUUCUGAAAGGUUGGCCUGUUGUCCAUGAAUUUUUUUUCUUGAAACAACUUUUUUUUUUUUUUUUGCACAACAGUUGAAACACAACAAAGCACAUGUUUGUAAGUAACAAUUUGAUAUCUUUGGACUUAUGUUUACACUGUGAAACCAUCACCACAGUCAAGAGAGUGGAUAUAUCCAUCAUCCUCAACACUUUUCCUAGUGCCCCCCUUUUUUUAAAAUUUAUUUUUAUUAAAAAAAAAUUUUUUUAACAUUUAUUCAUUUUCGAGAGACAGAGUGUGAGUGGGGAGGGCACAGAGAGAGAGGGAGACACAGAAUCCGAAGCAGGCUCCAGGCUCCAAGCUGUCAGCACAGAGCCCCACGCGGGGCUCGAACCCUCAGACCGCGAGAUCGUGACCUGAGCCGAAGUUGGACACUAAACUGACUGAGCCACCCAGGCACCCCUCUAGUGCCCCUUUUAAUCUGUGCCUCCUGCCCUUCCCGUCCUUUCACUCCCAAGUGAUCAAUGAUCUGCUUUCUGUCACUAUAAUUUUCAUUGUCCAGAGUUUUUAUAUAAAUGAAAUCAUAUAUGAUGUACUUUUUUGGCUGGCUUCUUUCAAUAUACUUAUCUUGAGAUUCAUUUAUGUAGUUGUGUAUAUUAAUGGUUUGUUGCUUUUUAUUGCUAAAUAGCAUUCCUUUGAAUGGAUAUAUGUAAUUUGUUUCUCCAUUCAUGCAUUGAAGGCACAAUUAGGUUGUUUCCAAUUUGGGACUAUUACAAAUAUGGCCACUAUGAACAUUUAUGUACAAUUCCUUGUACGGACAUAUAGUUCCUUUUCUCUUGGGGAAAUACCUAGGAGAUAAAUGAAUGGAUCAUAUGGUAGGAGUAUGUUUAAUAUCUUGAGAAACUGCUAAAAUAUUUUCAAGAGUAGUUUUAUAGUUCCGCAAGCAGUAUUUGACAGUUCUGUUUGCUCAAUAACCUUGUUAACACCUGGUAUUGUGUUAAUUUUAAUUUAACUUUAGUUAUUCUCAUAAGGGUGUAAUGUUUCAUGGUGGAUUUAAUUUGCAUUUCUCUAAUGAUAAAGCCAUUGAACAACUUUUCAUAUGCUUGUUAUCCAUACAUCUUAUUUGAUGAAGUGUCUGUUCAAAUCAUUUGCCCACUUUUAAAAUUGAGUUGUUUCCUUAUUUUUGAGUUAUGAGAGUUCUUUAUAUGUUCACAAUACAAAUAUUUUUUCCGGCCUAUGAUUUGUAAAGAU